CCAUCCAGUCGGGAUUCACGAUAGAGAAACUGAAUCACAUGUUAACUACACCUAGAGGUUUAUUUCAAUUCUACUGGAUUGUUACUACAUACUGCUAGGUAUCACUGAUGGAUUAUGAGAGCUUACUAAGAUUGAUCUAGAUCGAUAAUCUUUGAUAAGUUAGAGUGAAAUUGUUUCGACCUAUUGAAAAGAGUUUCUAUGAUACUUUGAUGGAGAUCAUUAUA
rnacentral:lncRNA from 1 species